rnacentral:rRNA from 1 species
UAGGGAAUAUUGGACAAUGGGGGCAACCCUGAUCCAGCGAUGCCGCGUGUGUGAAGAAGGCCUGAGGGUUGUAAAGCACUUUAGUAGGGGAGGAGUACUUUCUGGAUAAUACCCGGAAAGGAGGACGUUACCCUAAGAAUAAGCACCGGCAAACUCUGUGCCAGCAGCCGCGGUAAUACAGAGGGUGCAAGCGUUAAUCGGAAUGACUGGGCGUAAAGGGUACGUAGGUGGGAGAUUAAGAAUCAUGUGAAAGUCCUGGGCUCAACCUGGGGAUGGCAUGGUUGACUGGUUUUCUGGAGUGCAGUAGAGGUAAGGGGAAUUUCCGGUGUAGCGGUGAAAUGCGUAGAGAUCGGGAGGAACACCGGUAGCGAAGGCGGCUCACUGGCUCGAUACUGACACUGAGGUGCGAAAGCGUGGGGAGCAAACAGGAUUAGAUACCCUCGUAGUCCCUGAGCGGGCUGGCAAGGCGCAU